rnacentral:misc_RNA from 1 species
ACCAUAUCCAAUCCUCAACUGCUGUAUCAUGGGAUGGACUGUAUGCAAGAUGGAGAGGGAGCAGACCGGAAAGAUGUUCUGCAGUAGCAGAAAGAGCAGCUUUGAUUGGCUUCCUCAUAUCCCAUAUAAGUGAUUUCCCAUUGCACUGCAAAUGGCUUUCCCAGGAUGAAAUCUCUGACUGUACUACAAUAACCAUGUCGGAGAGUGCCUUUGCCUGAUA